ACGUGACCCAGUUCCACUUCUAAAAUGGCGACCAAAAUGCGAUCGAAAGCCGGAAGGGCUCUUCAACCUGGACAAACAUAGAGACCUUUCCUCCUAAUGCAAUUCGAUCAUGCUAUAUUUUAUGAUUUUUUAAGCCGUCCAAAUCCCAAUGCUUUAACUAUGUUCCCGAUCAUAAACAAAAUCCUAGUCCUACGCAAUAGAAAAAAAAUCAAACAAACUUGUGGUAAAAACAUCAUGUUUCUAGAAAAAAACGGUCAAGUUGUGAACGUUUUCGAGUAAAGAAAGCACGCGAUGGUCAAACUCAAUACAGUCCAACCAAACUACUACUCAAUAAAACCAAUCAAACUUAAGAUAAUGGGAGUUAGAGGCCAUCGCCUUCGUCCCCACAAAGAUUCAAAUUUGGGAGGACCAAGUCUAAGAAGUUGGUUCUGCCUUGGCUUUCGGUAACUUCUCACAGGGGCUCACAAUCUCGUUUUCUGCGCCUCUCUCGGCAUUACUAAGGCCUGGCUGAUAUGGAUGGAGCUUGGCCCCUCUCCCCUGUGAAGAGCAAUCCAGGGCAUUGCUGACAAAGGCUCCGCCAAAACGUUGUCUGAAGGACAAGAGCCAGUUCCUGGCAUAUAAAAAGACCACUGGCGAUAGAGCACUUCAACAAUCCCCGAUUGAACCCUCACCGAUACACAUCUCGACAACAAGACGAAAACCUCCACAUUCAACAUGCCUCAAGGUUGCUGCGACAAAUGCAAGUGCGGAAUCCCCGACUGCUGCCGAAAGGGUUGCGAUUGUAAGAAUUGCGAUUGCAAAUGCUGCCCCAAGCAGUAAUGACAUGACGGUCGAAUGACUUUUGAGCAUGCAAUAAAGUAUUAAUUUUUGA